CGCGGGAUGGAGCAGUUGGUAGCUCGUCGGGCUCAUAACCCGAAGGUCGUAGGUUCAAGUCCUACUCCCGCAA
rfam:Shewanella frigidimarina NCIMB 400, complete genome.